ACGGAAGGCAGCAGUGGGGAAUAUUGGACAAUGGGGGAAACCCUGAUCCAGCGACGCCGCGUGAGUGAAGAAGUAUUUCGGUAUGUAAAGCUCUUUAAGCAGGAAAGAAAAUGACGGUACUUGAAGAAUAAGCCCCGGCUAACUACGUGCCAGCAGCCGCGGUAAUACGUAGGGGGCAAGCGUUAUCCGGAUUUACUGGGUGUAAAGGGAGCGUAGACGGCAAUGCAAGUCUGAAGUGAAAGCCCGUGGCUUAACUGCGGGACUGCUUUGGAAACUGCAUGGCUAGAGUGUCGGAGAGGUGAGUGGAAUUCCCAGUGUAGCGGUGAAAUGCGUAGAUAUUGGGAGGAACACCGGAGGCGAAGGCGGCUCACUGGACGAUCACUGACGUUGAGGCUCGAAAGCGUGGGGAGCAAACAGGAUUAGAUACCCUGGUA
rnacentral:rRNA from 1 species